GGUUGAGUUUUCUUUUGCAGCGUCAUGGCCAUGAAGAAUAGAAGAAAGAUGUGCUGGAAAGUGAAUAUGGACAAAGAAUGGUUUUGCAGGUCAUCUGUAUUCAAGGACUCGGCAACAAAGUGCAUAAUUUUGAUUAGAAUACUGUCUCCGUGGGGCACUGUUUUUUCCAGGCUCCUCGGGUCAAGAGAGUAUUUCUAAUAUUGUAUAUUACAUAUAUAUAUUUGAUAUAUGCUGCCAUAUUGUUUGAACGGCGCAUGUCGAGUUCAAUGUACAUGUAUGAAAUCUAUCUGAUGUACAUGUACUAUAUAUCUGACUGAUAUCUAUCUGAUAUUCAUGUACUUAUCUAAUUUUUGCACAUUUGAUUAAACGGCCAUGACAACUACGCCAA
rnacentral:sRNA from 1 species